rnacentral:rRNA from 1 species
CCUACGGGAGGCAGCAGUGAGGAAUAUUGGUCAAUGGACGAGAGUCUGAACCAGCCAAGUAGCGUGAAGGAUGACUGCCCUAUGGGUUGUAAACUUCUUUUAUAAGGGAAUAAAACAAGGCACGUGUGCCUUUUUGCGUGUACUUUAUGAAUAAGGAUCGACUAACUCCGUGCCAGCAGCCGCGGUAAUACGGAGGAUCCGAGCGUUAUCCGGAUUUAUUGGGUUUAAAGGGAGCGUAGAUGGGUUGUUAAGUCAGUUGUGAAAGUUUGCGGCUCAACCGGAAAAUUGCAAUUGAUACUGGUAGUCUUGAGUACAGUUGAGGUAGGCGGAAUGCGUGGUGUAGCGGUGAAAUGCUUAGAUAUCACGAAGAACCCCGAUUGCGAAGGCAGCUUACUAAACUGUGACUGACAUUGAUGCUCGAAAGUGUGGGUAUCAAACAGGAUUAGAUACCCCGGUAGUC